rnacentral:rRNA from 1 species
UAGGGAAUCUUCCGCAAUGGGCGAAAGCUUGACGGAGCAACGCCGCGUGAGUGAUGAAGGUCUUCGGAUCGUAAAACUCUGUUAUUAGGGAAGAACAAAUGUGUAAGUAACUAUGCACGUCUUGACGGUACCUAAUCAGAAAGCCACGGCUAACUACGUGCCAGCAGCCGCGGUAAUACGUAGGUGGCAAGCGUUGUCCGGAUUUAUUGGGCGUAAAGCGAGCGCAGGCGGUCAAUUAAGUCUGAUGUGAAAGCCCCCGGCUCAACCGGGGAGGGUCAUUGGAAACUGGUUGACUUGAGUGCAGAAGAGGAGAGUGGAAUUCCAUGUGUAGCGGUGAAAUGCGUAGAUAUAUGGAGGAACACCAGUGGCGAAGGCGACUCUCUGGUCUGUAACUGACGCUGAGGCUCGAAAGCGUGGGUAGCAAACAGG